GGGGAUAUGGACACUUACAUAGUAAUAUACAGCUUCUUGCAGCUUGAAUUUUCUAGCUAUACUCUUGACAGGACAUUUCUCCAUGGAUUUCGGAACAAAAGAAUGGCUGAUAGCAACGACAGGAUCAUGGUCAGGGUGUUUUCAAAGCCUUUGUGAAUGGACUGAAGGUGACAAUUGCUCCCGGAAUGACUGGAUUUGGGACAUGGAAGUCUAUCUUCACCAUGCACCGUUAAGUUUUUCUUGGGCAGUUGGAGACCUUAAGAAUAAAGACCGAAGUCCUUCAAAGAGGAAGAAAUUCUGCCUCUGGACUGCCUUAGGACUCAAGACUGCGGCAUCAACUCUUCCCUGGGUCUCCAUGCCACUGGCCUGCCCUGCAGAUUUUAGACUUGACAGCGAGUCCAAAUCUCAGGGAAAAAGAAACAGUAACUGGCAUAGGGAAACAAUAGGACCACAUAGAACUAAUGCCUAAAUUGCUGUGAUCUGAGGAGUGACCAAAACCCCAACGCUAAGAGGACUUCAAAGAUAACAACUUCAAAGCACCUGAGUUUUCAAACUGGAUAUAAUGUCUGGUGUGAUCUGGCAGAUUUUGAAAGGAUAACAUUCUGCCUGAGUUAUGAUAAGACUUCAUAAAGAUUUAUGUGUUUCUUGAAGUUUAUGAUUUGUAUAUUUCCUUCAUCUUUCAUUUGUUGUUAUAAAUCGCAGCUGUUAUUGUAAGUAUUUUUAAAGGAUUGUGUGUUAUAUAUUUUCCUGCUAGAGACUGUUUGGAUGCCUUCAAUCCAAGAAAUGUGUUCAGAUCUUGAAAAAUUAAUAACAGGAAGAGAUUCUUUUAGAAAAUAGAAAACAUUAAAUUAUAGCAUGUAUUGUUAGUAUCAUCAAGCAUGAGGAAAUUAUAGUUCAAUGUUAAAAAUAGCUAUAAGACUGAAUUUUAUUCUUGGUAUAAUAAGUUUAUCUGACUGAAGUGGACCUGAGAAUUAAAAAGAAAUGAGGAAAUUGAACAAACAUCCAGAAGUAAAUCUCUUAAAAUCAGAGAGGGGAAAAUCCCAAACAAGUGAACAUUGACAAAAAUAAAAUUAAAUAAUAAAAUUGCUAAAUUUAUUUGAGAAUUUGAUAUAACCUAUAUGUCAUGAGUAAUGUCAUCAAAUAUAUCUUUUAGGUUAACCUAAGGCAAAUUACUUAACUAAAUUUCUUUAAAGAUUAAACAUUUUUGGCUCAUGUUAAAAUAUCUACUUCUGAUGAUGUAAAUAAAUGGUUUAAUUUAUUCUUGUUACUUAUAAUGAAAGCCAGUACAUUUUGUUUUUGAAUCAGUAUAAAGCAUUAUGAAGCAAUCUUAAGCAUUUAGCACAAUUGUUAAAUUUCAAAAAGUUGUACUUGGAGUGAGAACAUGAAUGUAGAGAGCUGGAGAAGGAACUACAAUUAUGUCUGCUACUUUUCUGACCUGGAUUAUCUUAUACCCACAGUAUCACUAUGGGGUAAUGGGGAUAAGUAAAGUUGUUAUAAGAUUAUUCCCGUAAAAAAUUAGAAUCUUUGAAAAAAAGACAUUCCAAAAAGGGAAAAUCUUAGGAUUUGUAUGCAAUUGUCCUUUCUUACUUACAAAAAAUAAACUUAAUAUAAAA
rnacentral:lncRNA from 10 species